UGGGGAAUUUUGGACAAUGGGCGAAAGCCUGAUCCAGCAAUGCCGCGUGUGUGAAGAAGGCCUUCGGGUUGUAAAGCACUUUUGUCCGGAAAGAGAUCCUUGGCUCUAAUACAGUCGGGGGAUGACGGUACCGGAAGAAUAAGCACCGGCUAACUACGUGCCAGCAGCCGCGGUAAUACGUAGGGUGCAAGCGUUAAUCGGAAUUACUGGGCGUAAAGCGUGCGCAGGCGGUUUGCUAAGACCGAUGUGAAAUCCCCGGGCUCAACCUGGGAACUGCAUUGGUGACUGGCAGGCUAGAGUAUGGCAGAGGGGGGUAGAAUUCCACGUGUAGCAGUGAAAUGCGUAGAGAUGUGGAGGAAUACCGAUGGCGAAGGCAGCCCCCUGGGCCAAUACUGACGCUCAUGCACGAAAGCGUGGGGAGCAAACAGGAUUAGAUACCCCUGGUAGUCCACGCCCUAAACGAUGUCAACUAGUUGUUGGGGGAUUCAUUUCCUUAGUAACGUAGCUAACGCGUGAAGUUGACCGCCUGGGGAGUACGGUCGCAAGAUUAAAA
rnacentral:rRNA from 1 species